AUGGCCGGUUCACAGGCGGUGGCUUUACCUGCUGCACCACAACGCCAGACCCAGGGCAAUUCAGUUCUGAGAUGCCUGAGCUGGCCUGCCCCCGGAACACACCUGUGGUGUCCUGCCCUUGUCUGUGAUUAAGAAAGGACUUUCAUUCGUAGAGCCUAUAAUAGACUCCUAUUCCCCAAUUAGCUUCACCUCCAGUCAGCUUGCUGUUCUCGGUUAUACUCAUGUUCUCAUGUAUUUAGUUGAAGGGAGAGAGAGAGAGAGAGAGAGGCCAUCCACUGAUUCACUCCCCAAAUGCCCACAAUGCACAAUGCCUGGAGCUGAGCCGGGCUGAAGUUUGAAGUUGGGAACUCAAUCCAGGUCUCUCCCAUGGGUGGCAGAAAGCUACCUACCUGAGCCAUCACUGUUAUCUCCCAGGGUCGGCAUAAGCAGGACGCUAGAGUGCGGAGUGGGAUCUGGGAUCUGAGCCCAAGCAGGCGGCUGUGGGACACAGGUGUGUCAACUGCCAGGCUAAACACCUGUUCUGGGUUCUUGUGCUUUAUUUCCCCAUUAGAUCUAAACUCAAAGGAGAAGGAGGUGGGUAAGCAAUCAUUGCCCUCCCAACUCCACCAUACAGUGUGUCUCAGGGCACGAGAGCUGCUCAAUAAAUAGCCAUGGUUAUUUGCCUGUUGCUCCUGCAUACCUGUGAGUGUCUUACCGGUCCCUCGGCUUCUGGGAGAGAUUGCCCCAUGGAUCUCCUGCACUUUUAGAAUUCAUCACCUGUGUGAUGCCAGAGCAGGUGUAUCCCCCAGAGUGAUUUAACGCUCCAUUUCACAGAAGCAGCCCAGGUAGUAAAGAUAGCGGGUGACAUAUGUCCAUCAUUGGCCGCACGCUGGUGGUCCACGAGAAAGAAGACGACUUGGGCAAAGGUGGAAAUGACGAGAGUACAAAGACCGGGAACGCCGGCAGUCGUUUGGCCUGUGGUGUCAUUGGAAUCGCCCCCUAAACAUUCCUGCCAUGUGGUCUGAGUCCCAGGAGCUCAUCUGUUAGCCUGCUGGUUGUAGACAUGUAACCUGAUGCACAUUAAACACUGUCACCUGCAA